AUGCCAGCUCCAGAGGAGACGCCGUUUCAGUCCCUGCCGGCUCCUGUGAGGAGCCUGAGGGCAGCGCCGCCGGCUCCUGUGAGGAGCCUGAGGGCAGCGCCGCCGGCUCCUGUGAGGAGCCUGAGGGCAGCGCCGCCGGCUCCUGUGAGGAGCCUGAGGGCAGCGCCGCCGGCUCCUGUGAGGAGCCUGAGGGCAGCGCCGCCGGCUCCUGUGAGGAGCCUGAGGGCAGCGCCGCCGGCUCCUGUGAGGAGCCUGAGGGCAGCGCCGCCGGCUCCUGUGAGGAGCCUGAGAGCAGCGCCGCCGGCUCCUGUGAGGAGCCUGAGAGCAGCGGCGCUGCUCUCAGGCUCAAGUGAGGACGCCGUUCCUGUCCCUGUUCCGGUUCCUGUCGACCAAGUAGAGGUCGUUCCAGUUCCUGUCCCUGUCGGCCAAGUAGAGGUCGUUCCAGUUCCUGUUCCUGUCGGCCAAGUUGAGGCCGUUCCUGUUCCUGUUCCUGUCGGCCAAGUUGAGGCCGUUCCUGUUCCUGUCAACCAAGUUGAGGCCGUUCCUGUUCCUGUCGGCCAUGUUGAGGUCGUUCCAGUCCCUGUCGGCCAUGUUGAGGCCGUUCCAGUUCCUGUCGGCCAUGUUGAGGCCGUUCCAGUUCCUGUUCCUGUCGGCCAAGUAGAGGCCGUUCCAGUCCCUGUCGGCCAUGUUGAGGCCGUUCCAGUUCCUGUCCCAGUCCCUGUCGGCCAUGUUGAGGCCGUUCCAGUUCCUGUCCCAGUCCCUGUCGGCCAUGUUGCGGCCGUUCCAGUUCCUGUCCCUGUUCCUGUCGGCCAUGUUGCGGCCGUUCCAGUCCCUGUUCCUGUCGGCCAUGUUGCGGCCGUUCCAGUCCCUGUUCCUGUCGGCCAUGUUGCGGCCGUUCCAGUCCCUGUUCCUGUCGGCCAUGUUGCGGCCGUUCCAGUCCCUGUUCCUGUCGGCCAUGUUGCGGCCGUUCCUGUCCCUGUUCCUGUCGGCCAUGUUGCGGCCGUUCCUGUCCCUGUUCCCGUCGGCUCCCGCAAAGAUGCCGUUCGUGUCCCUGUCACCCUCGGAGCCACAGCCCCCGCCGACCUCCAGGAGGAGGCGGCGCCGGCUGCAGUCCCUGCUGCAGUUCCUGCUGCAGUCCCUGCGGACCUCCAGGAGGCGGUCGCGCCAGCUGCAGUCCCUGCGGACCUCCAGGAGGCGGUCGCGCCAGCUGCAGUCCCUGCGGACCUCCAGGAGGGGGUCGCGCCAGCUGCAGUCCCAGCGGACCUCCAGGAGGGGGUCGCGCCAACUGCAGUCCCUGCGGACCUCCAGGAGGAGGUCGCGCCAACUGCAAUCCCUGCGGACCUCCAGGAGGGGGUCGCGCCAGUCGUAGUUCCUGCCGACCUCCAGGAGGGGGUCGCGCCAGUCGUAGUUCCUGCCGACCCCCAGGAGGGGGUCGUUCCCGUCGUAGUUCCUGCCGACCCCCAGGAAGGGGUCGUUCCCGUCGCAGCUCCCGCUGCGGUUCCUGGCGGCCCGGUUCCGGCCGCACCUGCAUCGGUUCCUGGCGGCCCGGCUCCGGCCGCACCUGCAUCGGUUCCUGGCGACCCGGCUCCGGCCGCAACUGCAUUGGUUCCUGGCGGCCCGGCUCCGGCCGCACCUGCAUCGGUUCCUGGCGGCCCGGCUCCGGCCGCACCUGCAUCGGUUCCUGGCGGCCCGGCUCCGGCCGCACCUGCAUCGGUUCCUGGCGGACCGGCUCCGGCCGCACCUGCAUCGGUUCCUGGCGGCCCGCCUCUGGUUCCUGCCUCGUCUCCACGUCUGUCUUCGCCUCUGGUUCCUGCCUCGUCUCCACGUCUGUCUUCGCCUCUGGUUCCUGCCUCGUCCCCACGUCUGUCUUUGUCUCUGGUUCCUGCCUCGUCCCUGUCUCUGCUGCCGGACUGGUGGCCUCGCCCUCGGCGCAUCCUGCUGCUUGGAUGGCGCUGCCUCCUGCGGCGUCGUCCGCCUCGACUCCUCAGCCUUCAGGAUCAGCGUCCGUCUGGAGGACAUUGCCAUCCGGGGUGGUCCCCGUGGACGCUGGCCCAGCUCACGGGCACUGGGCGUGCCACCCUGCCUCAGCGGCGGCUGAGCAGGAUCUCACCGCGUCUCCACCCGCCGUGA
ensembl:lncRNA